UGUAUUUUCCACCUCGCUGCCGCGGAUGCGAUCCAAAAUUCAACCGAUAAGGUUAUGAAAUAUGAAUAAAGCCACGUAGCAAUAUUAUAGCAAAGUUACAAAUGUCCGAAUUUGGACAGCAUUGACUGACUCGCCGGUGUAAGACACUCCAGAGAGGCCCUAUUCUACAUGAAUCAUCGCAUCGAGGACCGGUCAAGAUGCAAAAGUGGAACAAUGUGAAAUGGGAAAGGGAGCUUGGCGAUGGUGGACCCCCCUUUUGCUUUAGUUGUGAAAGGUUCUUUCCAGACCAAACGUCAUUUCAUGACCACUUUUGUCCUGCGGCUGGUUUCAUCUGCUCCUGUGGAACAGAGUUCUCCAUGUAUGUUGAUAUGAUGGACCACAGCGGAUUACAUGAACCAGGCCACACUGUAAUUAAUUAUAGCACUGUAAAGAAGGAACAAUAUCAGAGGGAGAGAGAGUACAAGGAGCAGCUUUCAAGGCUGGUAUUGACGGCGGGGCAGGGAAGCUGGGCUAAACCUGGACUGACUCCGAUGCUAUCGGCCACUAUGCCACGAGCCACAAAGCCUGCACCUGGUCCAAGUGCCCCAACAACGGACCUCUGGCACCAAUUCCAGCCAGUGGUGUUGGUGGAGACCCUGCGCAAGUUUGGAAGGACAAAGCCCUACAGGUGUGCCUACUGUGAACUGGGCUUUGCAACAAAAGACUUACUCGUAUGGCACCACAACACUCAUGCAAGAAAUAAAGUCCAUGGCUGCCUGCAGUGCGGGGUUCUCUUGCUCAGCAACAACAAGUCACCACAGCCUGGCCACCACCAGUGUGGCUCAUAUCGGGCAACUCCUGAAACCAGAUUUACCACUGCCACAGUGCUGAGUAACAGGAAACAGCCUGUGGGGAAGGCUCAGAAGGUUGUCCAGCGUCUGCACUGUCCUGACCCGUUCAAUGGGGAGCUGCAGCUAGGGAUGCAUAUGGUCUCACAGCAGCCCGUUCCAGGGACUUCUGGAACAAAAUACUUGAAGUGUAGAGUUUGUCAGGAGCCCUUCCAAACUGUCAAGCUGCUCGAGAGGCACCGUUGCACAAUGGCGUCGUCCUUUUUUGCGCAUGAACUGGGUCUAACGUCUGGCAAACAGCUCAAUGGUCACAGAAAAGGGAAGGAGGGGACCAGCCCAAACUCCUUUCCUCGAAGGAAUGGUGACAAGGAGCUGGCGUUCAACAUUCAAACUUCAGCGAAUGUAACUGUAUACGACCACAAGGCAGUAGGCCCGGAUAGGGGCACCGGGUUGUCUGCCAUUUCUGUAAAGACUGAGGUUUCAGACGAUGACUGUUUUGUGAUUGAGGAUGCGCUUUCGUGCUAGUCGGAACUAAGAAACUCUGAAAUUUCCGACUUGCUGACUGGUUGAACACGGCACGUGUAUAACAACCAGUUAGUAAAUCGGAAAUGUCUGUGUUUCCUUGUUCUGACUUGCACGUGAAUGCGGCAUAAAAGCUCCUUCAUCAAACCAAGUCAGCUGUCAUACCAACAAUUAACCUCUUCCCUCUCAGUACUACAGACAUGAACAGUGCAAAAAGCAUUCCCAAUGUGAACCCUCUGCAUUUGCAACAGACAAACAUCUUCUAUGGGUAUGGGCCCUUUUUGUAAGGUACCAGUUUAACUCUAAUCUAACUACUCAAAAUACAACUAAUCUGUCAGUAGCCUAGGUAUUUUAUUUUUUAUCAAUUGUGUGUUUGUCAAAUUCUAUUUAAAAUGUUACAUAUGCAGUAUCAAAUCAGUCUGUAUGGUUCAUAUAACCACAAACAUUGUAUGAAAGUUUGUCUUUUGAAAAUGCUGUUUUUUUUUGUUUUUACAGUAACUUUACUGAAAACUUGGUAUAAGCAGCAUUGGCCAUAUCACAAGAACAUGUUGGUUCUUUUUAGCCAUUUCUGUAGUCUUGGAAUAAAAUAUUGUUUUGUUUCCGCUCUCUCCCUUUCCUUUGUAGCAACUAAGGUGUAAUAAUCUGUGUGUUUUUCGUAUUUCAGGGACCAAAGCAAUAGCUGCAGCCAUAAGUGAUUGCUGGAAAAGGCUAUACGGACACUCCUGACCUGCAAAACAUUUUUUUUUUUCAGAGAUACUUAAAAUUGUGUUACGGUUAGAGGUAGGGUUAAGGUAAGAGACAGUUUAAGAUUUUGGUUAGUUUUACAAGUCAGGGUCUCUUUUAUAGCCCUUGCCAAGAGUGCAUGAUGGAAAUGCAGAUCAUAUAUUCACUGAUUGCUUGGGAUAGUGCUCAGACAGUUUGUCACUUGUGAAUAGCACACAAAAAUAGGGGUUUGUUGUCUUUAGAAUAUUUAGCUAUCUCAUGAGAAUUUUAUACGCACUGCACUAGGUUUUUUUGUUAAACUUUUUUUAUUUUACACCGGUUGUCCACCUUUGAUGAGGUGGCACCGCGACGCCAUUUCCGGCCUACCGGAUGUUGAGUGAGGAGGAAAAAAACAAUUGAAUCACGAAUACAAUAAGCUAACAUUUCAAAUUAUGGCACACACCACUGUAUCUGAACGUUGGCGAAAACAUCAAUAUUAUGUGCAAUGCAUUAUUUAUAAAUAUUGAUAUUUGUCGGGUUUGGACUAAAACACGGUAUGUUGACAUUAGCUAGCUAGUAGCUUUCAUCAUGUCGACAGCUAUCUAACUGGUGGUUCGAGGACAAGUUUGCACUAACACAUUUGUGGAUAAUCUGGAUGUCAGACAGCCUCUAUGGGUUGUGGUGCCUACAACCUAUCAAUUUGAUUCAAGGCAUGGAAGACACAAGUUGGAACAUUCAAACCCAACAGAACAACACUACAUCCGUAUGUGAGAUGCAUGUGGGCUGUUUUUUGGGUACCUGGAGACGGUAGUGGCCGUUACUUGGCUAGAUUGUGGUGGAAGAGGAGACGCGUAGUUUGAACAAAAGCUGGAUGAUCGUUCUUGCCUGGGCUACUAUUGGAGGAUCUACGUUGAACAUUUAAAUUUUCCUCAUCAGUCCCGCCAGAGAGCCUGCCUAAAAAUAAAGACAGUAAGUAUUAAAAUAGCAUAAGAAAGUCACUCAUGUAUGUUGGAAAUAGUAGCAUAUUGUUACUAGUAUCACAGAGGCUAGAAAAACUCCAUCCUGAAUCUAGUUUUUAUGAGAAUUCACCUCUUCCCUAUGUGAAAACACAGAGCAAGAGACUGACUGACAUGGGAAGUAAAAUUUCCUUCAGUAGAGGAGUCAAUGAUGAGGAAACAGUCAGCCUUAUCUGCUGCCCAUAGCAACCCUCCUGAACCCUUGCCUGCCCUGACUAACGAGAAACCGGAAACUGCUGAUACUGGCAAUGGAGACGCUACUGUUCUAAUGUGUCCCCCUUCAGUGUAUUUUCAUGUCUAGAACUGUAUAUCUGAUACAAUAUACCCAUAUAUUUGUGCGAUAUGUGCUGCGUCUGUCUGUUUCUCUAUAUUUGAUUAUGAAAACUAAGACCGGCGCAAAAGGAAAGCAUUAACGUGUUAUAUAUUUUUUAUAUAUAUAUACAGUGAGGGGGAAAAGUAUUUGAUCCCCUGCUGAUUUUGUACGUUUGCCCACUGACAAAGAAAUUAUCAGUCUAUAAUUUUAAUGGUAGGUUUAUUUGAACAGUGAGAGACAGAAUAACAACAAAAAAUACAGAAAACGCAUGUCAAAAAUUUUAUACAUUUAUUUGCAUUUUCAUGAGGGAAAUAAGUAUUUGACCCCUCUGCAAAACAUGACUUAGUACAAAACCCUUAUUGGCAAUCACAGAGGUCAAACAUUUCUCGUAGUUGGCCACCAGGUUUGCACACAUCUCAGGAGGGAUUUUGUCCCACUCCUCUUUGCAGAUCUUCUCUAAGUCAUUAAGGUUUUGAGGCUGACGUUUGGCAACUCAAACCUUCAGCUCCCUCCACAGAUUUUCUAUGGGAUUAAGGUCUGGAGACUGGCUAGGCCACUCCAGGACCUUAAUGUGCUUCUUCUUGAGCCACUCCUUUGUUGCCUUGGCCGUGUGUUUUGGGUCAUUGUCAUGCUGGAAUAUCCAUUCACGACCCAUUUUCAAUGCCCUGGUUGAGGGAAGGAGGUACAUGGCCCCGUCCAUCGUCCCUUUGAUGCGGUGAAGUUGUCUUGUCCCCUACGAGAAAAACAUCCCCAAAGCAUAAUGUUUCCACUUCUAUGUGUGACGGUGGGGAUGGUGUUCUUGGGGUCAUAGGCAGCUUUCCUCCUCCUCCAAACACGGCGAGUUGAGUUGAUGCCAAAGAGCUCCAUUUUGGUCUCAUCUGACCACAACACUUUCACCCAGUUGUCCUCUGAAUCAUUCAGAUGUUCAGUGGCAAACAUCAGAUGAGCAUGUAUAUGUGCUUUCUUGAGCAGGGGUAACUUGAGGGUACUGCAGGAUUUCACUCCUUCACUGCGCAGUGUGUUACCAAUUGUUUUCUUGGAGACUGUGGUCCCAGCUGCCUUGAGAUCAUUGACAAGUUCCUCCCGUGUAGUUCUGGGCUGAUUCAUCACCAUUCUCAUGAUCAUUGCAACUCUACGAGGUGAGAUCUUGCAUGGAGCUUCAGGCCGAGGGAGAUUGACAGUUCUUUUGUGUUUCUUCCAUUUGAGAAUAAUGGCACCAACUGUUGUCACCUUCUCACCAAGCUGCUUGGCGAUGGUCUUGUAGCCCAUUCCAUCCUUGUGUAGGUCUACAAUCUUGUCCCUGACAUCCUUAGAGAGCUCUUUGGUCUUGGCCAUGGUGGCAAGUUUGGAAUCUGAUUGAUUGAUUGCUUCUGUGGACAGGUGUCUUUUAUACAGGUAACAAACUGAGAUUAGAAGCACUCCCUUUAAGAGUGUGCUCAUAAUCUCAGCUCGUUACCUGUAUAAAAGACACCUGGGGGCCAGAAAUCUUUCUGAUUGAGAGGGGGUCAAACACUUAUUUCCCUCAUUAAAAUGCAAAUCAAUUUAUAACAUUAUUGACAUGUGUUUUUCUGGAUUUUUGUUGUUGUUAUUCUGUCUCUCAUUGUUCAAAUAAACCUACCAUUAAAAUUA